AACGCAUAUUGCGCCCAUUAGUAUUCUAGUGGGCAUGCCUGUUCGAGCGUCAUUUCAACCCUCAAGUUUGUUAACUUGGUGUUGGAGCUUCUGUUGCACUACGUGCUACAGGCCCUGAAAGACAUUGGCGAGCUCACUGUAAAUCCGAGCGUAGUAGAUUCUUCGCUUAGGGAUAAACAGAAAGUAUUAGCCAUAAAACCUUUUUUUUUUUUUUUAAAAGUUGACCUCGGAUCAGGUAGGAAUACCCGCUGAACUUAA
rnacentral:misc_RNA from 1 species